UAAUGAAAUGCCAACAAGAAUAUGAUACAAGAAGCAAAAUUCUUCAAAAAGCAGAUAGCUUCUGAGACUUAUCAGAGUACCUUGCCUUGGAAAGAAGAAAUGAUACCUUUCCGAGAUCAAGGAAAAGGAUAAAAGGGUAGUAAAGGUGCCACUGAAUUUAUGACAGAGAAUGAAAGGACAUAGAGUGGAUUGGGCUUAACUAAGUAUUUCCUGGUUGAGGUUUCUCAUGCAGUUUCAGUCAGAGGAUGUUGGCUGGAGAUGGAGUCAUCUGGAGGCUAGGACAUUUGCCCACUCUGAAGAAAAAACAAACAGCUGAAGAAAUCUCACUCCACCACUAUCUGGUCACUCCGUAUACUCUCUUCAUCAUGGAAGCUUCAGGGUAGCUGGACUACUAACAUUGUGGAUGAGGGCUCCUAAGAUAGACUGCCAAAGGGAGGAAAGAGAAGACAGAAGACAAACUGUUUGGAAAGCUGUCUUCCCUCUUAAUGAGCUUCUCAAAAUCAAACUUCAGUUUCAAAAUUGUCUACAGAGUGCCCCUGAAGCAUCCAGAAGAGAGGUAAACAGGAUUAUUUAACAUGUUAAGGACAACAUAAGAAAACACCAAGGAUAGAAAAC
rnacentral:lncRNA from 1 species